rnacentral:lncRNA from 1 species
AGUGCUCCUGCUGACCUUCCCUGUCUGCAGCCCAGCUUUGGACUGUGGAGAUGCCCUCAGCCUCUACUCAGUGGCUCCAGCCUCAUAUUUGCGUGCUAUACCUUUAACCUCAAGUUCUCUUGCUGCUAACUUAAGCUGUGACUGUCCAGGACCUGCACACACACAUACAUGCACGCAUGCACACACACACACACACACACACACACACACACACAGAAGGUGAACACACAGGAUGAGGCCCUGAAAACUCAUUUCACCCGUGUACCUCACCCAAAAAUUCCCCUUUGUACUCCUAUCUUUAUCUCUAACUGACAGCAUGAAGGUAGCCCGAAGUCCCCUCACCCUGUCUGUCCUCCUGAUUCUCUAGCCCAGUUCCCUCUAGCUCCAGCACAGACUCUUAUCUCCAGCCCUGACUGCUGAAACCCUCCAGCCCCAGCUCCAGCCCCUCAGGAGGGGACUGCGUGGGAGGAAUGACUCCAGCAAGCCGGCAGCUGACCCGUCUCUGGCCUGCAUGCCUCCCCCUGUGGUCCACUGCCGGUGGUCUUCAGCUCUCUCCUCGUCCCACCCCCAUGGUCUGCUGACAGCCCAGCCCAGUGCAUCCCUGCCAUCUCUGCUCUACCGCUGGUCCUCCCAACAACCAACUUACAGCUUCCAAUUGUGGACAAGAUAAGGACCAUUGCCCAGGCUGUCUAUGGAGCCAAAGAUAUCGAACUCUGUCCUGAGGCACAAGUCAAAAUAGAUCGUUACACUCAGCAGGGUUUUGGAAAUUUGCCCAUCUGCAUGGCAAAGACCGAUCUUUCUCUGUCUCACCAACCUGACAAAAAAGGUGUGCCAAGGGACUUCAUCUUACCUAUCAGUGAUGUCCGGGCCAGCAUAGGUGCUGGGUUCAUUUACCCUUUGGUCGGAACGAGAAUCUCCCCUCUGGCUCUAGUUGGAGAAUCCCAACCCAAGCAAGUCCAUCUUUGA